rnacentral:sRNA from 14 species
GGGCUCAACAGGGUUCUUCGGGUAGAGAGAGGGAGGCACCGACGAGAGAACAGACAAAAACCACAACAAAGAAGCUAUCAUUGAUGAAACUCUAGAAUUGGUUGAUUAAAAUCG